rnacentral:rRNA from 1 species
UAGCCGCAGAAUACUGUGCUAAGGUAGCAUAAUCACUUGUCUUACAAUUAAAGACUAGAAUGAAAGACUAAACGAGUAAACUACUAUACCCCUUACUAAUAUUAAACUAUAAUAAGCAUUAAAAUAUUCUUAUACGUAAAAAAGACGACAAGACCCCGUUGAACUUUACUUUAGUUAAACUGGGGCAGUUUUUCAAUAAACUUUUAUUAACAAUUUCUCACAACUAAUCCUUACAAAGAAAAACAAGUUACCACAGGGAUAACAGCGCAAUUUUUCUUUUUAGCUCUUAUAUUAAGAAAAGAUUACGACCUCGAUGUUGAAUUAAUCAAUCUAAUAAAAGCAAAAUUUUAAAAGAAAGUCUGUUCGACUUUUAAUUUAUUACAUGAUUUG